rnacentral:rRNA from 1 species
UACGUAUGGAGCGAGCAUUGUCCGGAAUUAUUGGGCGUAAAGGGUGCGCAGGCGGCUUUACAAGUUGGAUGUGAAAUAUUGUGGCUCAACCACAAACGUGCAUCCAAAACUGCAAAGCUUGAGUUAAGGAGAGGUAAGUGGAAUUCCUGGUGUAGCGGUGGAUGCGUAGAUAUCAGGAGGAAUACCGGUGGCGAAGGCGACUUACUGGACUUAAACUGACGCUCAGGCACGAAAGCUGGGGAGCAAACAGGAUUAGA